AUGGGGGAAGAGAGGGAGAGAGGCUACGGGGGAAGAGAGGGAGAGAGGCUACGGGGGAAGAGAAGGAGAGAGGCUACGGGGGAAGAAAGGGAGAGAGGCUACGGGGGAAGAGAGGGAGAGAGGCUACGGGGGAAGAGAAGGAGAGAGGCUACGGGGGAAGAGAGGGAGAGAGGCUACGGGGGAAGAGAGGGAGAGAGGCUACGGGGGAAGAGAGGGAGAGAGGCUACGGGGGAAGAGAGGGAGAGAGGCUACGGGGGAAGAGAGGGAGAGAGGCUACGGGGGAAGAGAAGGAGAGAGGCUACGGGGGAAGAAAGGGAGAGAGGCUACGGGGGAAGAGAGGGAGAGAGGCUACGGGGGAAGAAAGGGAGAGAGGCUACGGGGGAAGAGAAGGAGAGAGGCUACGGGGGAAGAAAGGGAGAGAGGCUACGGGGGAAGAAAGGGAGAGAGGCUACGGGGGAAGAAAGGGAGAGAGGCUACGGGGGAAGAGAAGGAGAGAGGCUACGGGGGAAGAGAGGGAGAGAGGCUAUGGGGGAAGAGAGGGAGAGAGGCUACGGGGGAAGAGAAGGAGAGAGGCUACGGGGGAAGAAAGGGAGAGAGGCUACGGGGGAAGAGAGGGAGAGAGGCUACGGGGGAAGAGAAGGAGAGAGGCUACGGGGGAAGAGAGGGAGAGAGGCUACGGGGGAAGAGAGGGAGAGAGGCUACGGGGGAAGAGAGGGAGAGAGGCUACGGGGGAAGAGAGGGAGAGAGGCUACGGGGGAAGAGAAGGAGAGAGGCUACGGGGGAAGAGGAGGAGAGAGGCUACGGGGGAAGAGAGGGAGAGAGGCUACGGGGGAAGAGAGGGAGAGAGGCUACGGGGGAAGAGAGGGAGAGAGGCUACGGGGGAAGAGAGGGAGAGAGGCUACGGGGGAAGAGAGGGAGAGAGGCUACGGGGGAAGAGAGGGAGAGAGGCUACGGGGGAAGAGAGGGAGAGAGGCUACGGGGGAAGAGAGGGAGAGAGGCUACGGGGGAAGAGAGGGAGAGAGGCUACGGGGGAAGAGAAGGAGAGAGGCUACGGGGGAAGAAAGGGAGAGAGGCUACGGGGGAAGAGAGGGAGAGAGGCUACGGGGGAAGAGAGGGAGAGAGGCUACGGGGGAAGAGAGGGAGAGAGGCUACGGGGGAAGAGAGGGAGAGAGGCUACGGGGGAAGAGAGGGAGAGAGGCUACGGGGGAAGAGAAGGAGAGAGGCUACGGGGGAAGAGAGGGAGAGAGGCUACGGGGGAAGAGAGGGAGAGAGGCUACGGGGGAAGAGAGGGAGAGAGGCUACGGGGGAAGAGAGGGAGAGAGGCUACGGGGGAAGAGAGGGAGAGAGGCUACGGGGGAAGAGAGGGAGAGAGGCUACGGGGGAAGAGAGGGAGAGAGGCUACGGGGGAAGAGAGGGAGAGAGGCUACGGGGGAAGAGAGGGAGAGAGGCUACGGGGGAAGAGAAGGAGAGAGGCUACGGGGGAAGAGAAGGAGAGAGGCUACGGGGGAAGAGAGGGAGAGAGGCUACGGGGGAAGAGAAGGAGAGAGGCUAUGGGGGAAGAGAAGGAGAGAGGCUACGGGGGAAGAAAGGGAGAGAGGCUACGGGGGAAGAGAAGGAGAGAGGCUACAGGGGAAGAGAGGGAGAGAGGCUACGGGGGAAGAGAAGGAGAGCGAGAGAGACUCCCUACUAGAAUUUGAAGUCAAAAUGUUUGCUGAUGAUCUGGUGCUUCUGUCACCAACCAAGGAGGGCCAACAGCAGCACUUAGAUCAAAUCAAAUGUUAUUAG
rnacentral:lncRNA from 1 species